AGAGUUUGAUCAUGGCUCAGAUUGAACGCUGGCGGCAGGCCUAACACAUGCAAGUCGAACGGUAACAGGAAGCAGCUUGCUGCUUUGCUGACGAGUGGCGGACGGGUGAGUAAUGUCUGGGAAACUGCCUGAUGGAGGGGGAUAACUACUGGAAACGGUAGCUAAUACCGCAUAACGUCGCAAGACCAAAGAGGGGGACCUUCGGGCCUCUUGCCAUCGGAUGUGCCCAGAUGGGAUUAGCUUGUUGGUGGGGUAACGGCUCACCAAGGCGACGAUCCCUAGCUGGUCUGAGAGGAUGACCAGCCACACUGGAACUGAGACACGGUCCAGACUCCUACGGGAGGCAGCAGUGGGGAAUAUUGCACAAUGGGCGCAAGCCUGAUGCAGCCAUGCCGCGUGUAUGAAGAAGGCCUUCGGGUUGUAAAGUACUUUCAGCGGGGAGGAAGGGAGUAAAGUUAAUACCUUUGCUCAUUGACGUUACCCGCAGAAGAAGCACCGGCUAACUCCGUGCCAGCAGCCGCGGUAAUACGGAGGGUGCAAGCGUUAAUCGGAAUUACUGGGCGUAAAGCGCACGCAGGCGGUUUGUUAAGUCAGAUGUGAAAUCCCCGGGCUCAACCUGGGAACUGCAUCUGAUACUGGCAAGCUUGAGUCUCGUAGAGGGGGGUAGAAUUCCAGGUGUAGCGGUGAAAUGCGUAGAGAUCUGGAGGAAUACCGGUGGCGAAGGCGGCCCCCUGGACGAAGACUGACGCUCAGGUGCGAAAGCGUGGGGAGCAAACAGGAUUAGAUACCCUGGUAGUCCACGCCGUAAACGAUGUCGACUUGGAGGUUGUGCCCUUGAGGCGUGGCUUCCGGAGCUAACGCGUUAAGUCGACCGCCUGGGGAGUACGGCCGCAAGGUUAAAACUCAAAUGAAUUGACGGGGGCCCGCACAAGCGGUGGAGCAUGUGGUUUAAUUCGAUGCAACGCGAAGAACCUUACCUGGUCUUGACAUCCACGGAAGUUUUCAGAGAUGAGAAUGUGCCUUCGGGAACCGUGAGACAGGUGCUGCAUGGCUGUCGUCAGCUCGUGUUGUGAAAUGUUGGGUUAAGUCCCGCAACGAGCGCAACCCUUAUCCUUUGUUGCCAGCGGUC
rnacentral:rRNA from 1 species